rnacentral:misc_RNA from 1 species
GAAAUGCGAUAAGUAGUGUGAAUUGCAGACUUUAGUGAAUCAUCGAAUCUUUGAACGCAUAUUGCGCCUUUUGGAAUUCCAUUAGGCAUGCCUGUUCAAGCGUCAUAUCUUCUGUCAAGCCUUUGCUUGGUGUUGAGUGAUUGCCUUUAUGUACAAGGCUCGCUCUAAAAGAAUUGGCAGUUAGCCUACUAGCUUCUAGCACAGCACUUGUGUCUUGGGAGGCUAGCGUAGGCUGGCGUCCCAGCAAGAUCACCCUUUAGUUUGACCUUGAAUCAGGUAGGGAUACCCGCUGAACUUAAGC